rnacentral:rRNA from 1 species
UACGUAGGGCGCAAGCGUUGUCCGGAAUUAUUGGGCGUAAAGAGCUCGUAGGUGGUUUGUUACGUCUGCUGUGAAAACCUAGGGCUUAACCCUGGGCCUGCAGUGGAUACGGGCAGACUAGAGGUAGGUAGGGGAGAAUGGAAUUCCCGGUGUAGCGGUGAAAUGCGCAGAUAUCGGGAGGAGCACCGGUGGCGAAGGCGGUUCUCUGGGCCUUACCUGACACUGAGGAGCGAAAGCGUGGGGAGCGAACAGG